AGAUGAUCUUAGCUAUGAGCCUGUCGAUGAACCAGUUGAACGAGGGUAUCUUGAACCUGUCAAAUGGAGCAUAUUUUCACAUGUUUGCACCGCCCCAGUAGAAUACCGUGGAACACGGAUCGAUGACUCUGCUUCUAUUGUGACCAAGGCCUGGUUUGAGGUGAAGGUUAUUGGAAUGAAGAAGGUCCUCUUCCUGAGGCUGGGAUUCUCGAUGGUCGCCUCAGCGAAAAUCCGUCGGUCAGAGUGGGAAGGACCAGCAACCACAUGUCGAAAAUCAGGUUUGAUCUCAAUGCUGAUCACUACCCCAUUCAGUACAAAGCUAAACCAACCCCAGAAGCCAACAAAGGUGGACUUGAAUUCCGCGGUUUAUCCUGGUGGUCCACCUUCACCAGCAAGAGCGCCAAAGAUGUCGCACUUUGUUGAUACAACAGAAAUGGUAAGAGGUCCCGAG
rnacentral:misc_RNA from 1 species